GCGGAUGAGCCAAUUCAUUAUGG
rnacentral:tRNA from 1 species